rnacentral:lncRNA from 1 species
UGCCCGAUCCAAUAUAACCUUAAUAUAUAUCUCCCUUUUAAAAUUAUAAUUACUUUAUAUUAUUUACAUAUUUUCAAUGCAACCCAACUUGAUCUAAUUCUUCUUAUUUAUCCGACUUGCAUCUCUACUUGACCUGACCAAACCCGAUGUGGAUAUGAUGCCGGAAUGUGUAUCGGAUUUUUACUUGUGGGAUGUGUAUGAGUAUGGGCUGACAAGACCC